rnacentral:rRNA from 1 species
GACGAACGCUGGCGGCGUGCUUAACACAUGCAAGUCGAACGGGUCUGCCCUGUUUUUUGCGGGGUGGGUCAGUGGCGAACGGGUGAGUAACACGUGAGUAACCUGCCCCUCACUUCUGGAUAACCGCUUGAAAGGGUGGCUAAUACGGGGUGUUCUGGCUGUGCCGCAUGGUGUGGCUGGGAAAGAUUCACUUUUGUGGUGUUUUGGUGGGGGAUGGGCUCGCGGCCUAUCAGCUUGUUGGGGGGGUGAUGGCCGGCCACGGCUUUGACGGGUCGCCGGCCUGAGAGGGUGGGCGGUCACACUGGGACUGAGCUACGGCCCAGACUCCUGCGGGAGGCAGCAGUGGGGGGUAUUGCACAAUGGGCGGAAGCCUGAUGCAGCGACGUCGCGUGAGGGAUGGAGGCCUUCGGGUUGUGAACCUCUUUCGCCGGUGAAGAAGGUCCUGCUCUUUGUGGUGGGGUUGGCGGUGGCCGGGUUAUGAAGCGCCGGCUAACUACGUG